rnacentral:sRNA from 1 species
GCGGAGACGCAUUUAGUUUCCGUUCACUCCUCACACCACAUUCCGCCUGGACUACUGUUCAGGCGGUU